rnacentral:ncRNA from 1 species
AGCUCCGCGAGGAGUUGUCUGGAGGAAGCCGGACGCAAAGCUGCGAGCUGAUGAACAAAAACAUCAUAUGAGGCGUAGGCUGAAGGCGAGUUGGCACAAGACAACGAAGCCAUGUGAUCUAACGACCACCGUAAAUGAUGCAGCAGUGCAGUGACAGUACAUGCU